rnacentral:rRNA from 1 species
UUUGGUGAUUUUUGCGGUGGGGCUCACCUCUUCCCAUUCCGAACAGAGUCGUUAAGCCCACUUGCGCAGAUGGUACUGCUAACGCGGGAGAGUAUGGCGUCGCCAAUC